rnacentral:rRNA from 1 species
UGGGGAAUUUUUGGACAAUGGGGGCAACCCUGAUCCAGCCAUGCCGCGUGUGUGAAGAAGGCCUUCGGGUUGUAAAGCACUUUCGGCCGGAACGAAAUCGCGCGGGCUAACACUCCGCGUGGAUGACGGUACCGGAAGAAGAAGCACCGGCUAACUACGUGCCAGCAGCCGCGGUAAUACGUAGGGUGCGAGCGUUAAUCGGAAUUACUGGGCGUAAAGUGUGCGCAGGUGGCCGCGCAAGUCGAGUGUGAAAGCCCCGGGCUUAACUUGGGAAUUGCGCUCGAAACUACGUGGCUAGAGUGUGGCAGAGGAAGGUGGAAUUCCACGUGUAGCGGUGAAAUGCGUAGAGAUGUGGAGGAACACCGAUGGCGAAGGCAGCCUUCUGGGCCAACACUGACGCUCAUGCACGAAAGCGUGGGGAGCAAACAGGAUUAGAUACCCUGGUAGUCCACGCCCUAAACGAUGAUGACUAGUUGUU